CCUACGGGAGGCAGCAGUGAGGAAUAUUGGUCAAUGGGCGAGAGCCUGAACCAGCCAAGUCGCGUGAGGGAAGACGGUCCUAUGGAUUGUAAACCUCUUUUGCCGGGGAGCAAAAAGCGGUACGCGUACCGCAUCGAGAGUACCCGGAGAAAAAGCAUCGGCUAACUCCGUGCCAGCAGCCGCGGUACUACGGGGGAUACGAGCGUUAUCCGGAGUUAUUGGGUUUAAAGGGUGCGCAGGCGGCGAGUUAAGUCAGCGGUAAAAUUUCGGGGCUCAACCCCGACAAGCCGUUGAAACUGGCGUGCUAGAGUGGGCGAGAAGUAUGCGGAAUGCGUGGUGUAGCGGUGAAAUGCAUAGAUAUCACGAAGAACUCCGAUUGCGAAGGCAGCAUACCGGCGCCCAACUGACGCUGAGGCACGAAAGCGUGGGUAUCGAACAGGAUUAGAUACCCGGGCAGUC
rnacentral:rRNA from 1 species